rnacentral:misc_RNA from 1 species
AAGUCGUAACAAGGUUUCCGUAGGUGAACCUGCGGAAGGAUCAUUCAUAAUGAGUGUUUAUGGCACUCUUUUCAAAAUCCAUAUCCACCUUGUGUGCAAUGUAAAAGGGGAAAGAGAAGAGAGAGAGAGAGAACAGCGAAGAGGUUCCGUUGCGAGCUUCUUCAAGGUUUUUUUUUUGUCUUUUCCUUUCUUCUUUACAAAAUAUAAUACACCUUUCUAUUAAUCUAUUGUCUAAAGUCUAUUAUGAAUGAAAUAAUUCAAAAUACAACUUUCAACAACGGAUCUCUUGGCUCUC